rnacentral:lncRNA from 1 species
GAAGCAUGUUUUCCAUGUCUUUCCCAGCCAUAGCUGAUUUAUGCAGUGCUAGAUGAUUUAUUUUUAUCCUCUGUCAUUUUCUCUAGUUGGUGUUUCCAUCGUGUUGAGAUUAGCCGAGUGUUACAGCAGUGAUUCAAAUCUUUGUUAUUUGUAUCCUUUGUAUUGUUUUGUCAGCAUGAUCAUAAUCAUAUACAUGCAUAUUCAUGCAUAAAACACAACAUCAGAUAUUUUAUUAUGCAUUUUAUCGCAUUUGAUUU